AUUGAACGCUGGCGGCAUGCUUUACACAUGCAAGUCGAACGGCAGCGCGGGGGCAACCCUGGCGGCGAGUGGCGAACGGGUGAGUAAUACAUCGGAACGUACCCAGAAGUGGGGGAUAACGUAGCGAAAGUUACGCUAAUACCGCAUACGUUCUACGGAAGAAAGUGGGGGAUCGCAAGACCUCAUGCUUUUGGAGCGGCCGAUGUCUGAUUAGCUAGUUGGUGAGGUAAAGGCUCACCAAGGCGACGAUCAGUAGCUGGUCUGAGAGGACGAUCAGCCACACUGGGACUGAGGACACGGCCCAGACUCCUACGGGAGGCAGCAGUGGGGAAUUUUGGACAAUGGGCGCAAGCCUGAUCCAGCCAUGCCGCGUGAGUGAAGAAGGCCUC
rnacentral:rRNA from 1 species